rnacentral:rRNA from 1 species
UACGUAGGGGGCAAGCGUUGUCCGGAAUCAUUGGGCGUAAAGAGCGUGUAGGCGGCUCGGUAAGUCCGCUGUGAAAGUCCAGGGCUCAACCCUGGAAUGCCGGUGGAAACUGUCGAGCUAGAGUCCGGAAGAGGCGAGUGGAAUCCCUGGUGUAGCGGUGAAAUGCGCAGAUAUCAGGAGGAACACCAAUGGCGAGGGCAGCUCGCUGGGACGGUACUGACGCUGAGACGCGAAAGCGUGGGGAGCGAACAGG